AUCGUUGGCUCUGAUUACAUUUUGGGGGAGUCCAGAGUUAUAUCUGAUUCCUUAAUUCAGUUUUGCACUGUAGAACCAACAUGAUGAAAUCGAAGCAAAGUUCUUCGAGGAGAGUCAGAGAGCAGCACUAGAAGCUAAAUAUCAGAAAUUGUAUCAGCCUUUCUAUACCAAGCGAUAUGAGAUUGUCACUGGUGUGGUUGAAGUUGAAGGUGCACCAGAAGAAGUGAAAACAGAAAAAUGAGAAGACAAAACUGCUGAAGAUACCUGAGAUGAAGGUGCU